rnacentral:rRNA from 1 species
UGACCAAGGGUUCCAGGGCCAGGCUAAUCCGCCCUGGGUAAGUCGGGACCUAAGACGAGGCCGACAGGCGUAGUCGAUGGACAACGGGUUGAUAUUCCCGUACCGGCUGUACCGCGACCCUGCCGAGGCAGAGGAUGCUAAGCGUCCGAAUCCGCUGCGACCUUCGGGUCAAGGUGGAGGAGCACGCGAACCGAAUCUGUAGUAGGCAAGCAAUGGGGUGACGCAGGAAGGUAGCUCAACCCGGGCGAUGGUUGUCCCGGGGUAAGGAUGUAGGGCGAGACGUAGGCAAAUCCGCGUCUCACAUGCCUGAGAUCUGACGCCGAGCCGAUUAAGGCGAAGUGAGUGAUCCUAUGCUGCCGAGAAAAGCCUCUAGCGAGUUGUACAGCCGCCCGUACCCCAAACCGACACAGGUGGUCAGGUAGAGAAUACCAAGGCGAUCGAGAGAACUGUGGUUAAGGAACUCGGCAAAAUACCCCCGUAACUUCGGGAGAAGGGGGGCCGAUUGAUGUGACGGGACUUGCUCCCUGAGCACCGGUUGGCCGCAGAGACCAGGCCCAAGCGACUGUUUACUAAAAACAUAGGUCCAUGCGAAGUCGCAAGACGAUGUAUAUGGACUGACGCCUGCCCGGUGCUGGAACGUUAAGGGGACGGGUUAGCGACUUCGGUCGCGAAGCUCAGAACUUAAGCGCCAGUAAACGGCGGUGGUAACUAUAACCAUCCUAAGGUAGCGAAAUUCCUUGUCGGGUAAGUUCCGACCUGCACGAAUGGCGUAACGACUUGGGCGCUGUCUCAACCACAGACUCGGCGAAAUUGCACUACGAGUAAAGAUGCUCGUUACGCGCGGCAGGACGGAAAGACCCCGGGACCUUUACUACAGCUUGGUAUUGGUGGUCGGUUCGAUUUGUGUAGGAUAGGUGGGAGACUAUGAAGCGUGGACGCCAGUCCAUGUGGAGUCAUCGUUGAAAUACCACUCUGAUCGUGCUGGCUGUCUAACUUAGGUCCGUGAUCCGGAUCAAGGACAGUGCCUGGUGGGUAGUUUAACUGGGGCGGUUGCCUCCUAAAAUGUAACGGAGGCGCUCAAAGGUUCCCUCAGCCUGGUUGGCAAUCAGGUGGCGAGUGUAAGUGCACAAGGGAGCUUGACUGUGAGACAGACAUGUCGAGCAGGGACGAAAGUCGGAACUAGUGAUCCGGCCACGGCAUGUGGAAGCGUGGUCGCUCAACGGAUAAAAGGUACCCCGGGGAUAACAGGCUGAUCUUCCCCAAGAGUCCAUAUCGACGGGAUGGUUUGGCACCUCGAUGUCGGCUCGUCGCAUCCUGGGGCUGGAGUCGGUCCCAAGGGUUGGGCUGUUCGCCCAUUAAAGCGGCACGCGAGCUGGGUUUAGAACGUCGUGAGACAGUUCGGUCCCUAUCCGCCGCGCGCGUAGGAAACUUGAGAAAGGCUGUCCCUAGUACGAGAGGACCGGGAUGGACGAACCUCUGGUGUGCCAGUUGUUCCGCCAGGAGCACGGCUGGUUAGCUACGUUCGGAAGUGAUAACCGCUGAAAGCAUCUAAGCGGGAAGCACGCUUCAAGAUGAGGGCUCCCACAGGGUUGACCUGGUAAGGCCCCCAGCUAGACGACUGGGUUGAUAGGCCGGAAGUGGAAGCACAGUGAUGUGUGGAGCUGACCGGUACUAAUAGGCCGAGGACUUGCCACA